rnacentral:lncRNA from 1 species
UUAGAAGUUGUAGAAAGCAAACUUGAUGUGUCUUUCUUUGCCUCUCGUUUCAUCAAUGUCUGAUAGAAUUCAACAAGUUCAGGAGCUCGGUGAACUUUAUCACCACUGCCUGCCCCUCUAGGUAGGCUGCCUGGAGGAGGAGGCGGAGGUGGUCGUCCACCAGGAGGUGGCGGUGGUGGUGGUGGCGCACCAGGUGGUGGAGGUUGUCCUGCUGCAGUGGUAUUUGCAUCAGCAGAAAUGCCACUGGAUGGCUUUGGUGGUGGUCUGGCCACCCUAGGUGGUCUCUUUUCAAUGUGGGCAAGUUUCAUCUUGCUGAUAGUUUGAGAGUCUACAGCCUUAUCGUCAUUGGAUUGCUCAUUUGAGUGACCAGAAACAACUGACUUCUCCUUUAUUUGAGCAAGUUUUGGGGGUAGAUUUACAGGUUUCUCUCUUUCAGUCUUUUCGCCAAACCUCUCUGCCCUUGCUUGUUCUGCUUUUUUCUUAAUUUGUUUCUCCCUCUCCAUGGCCAACUUAUGGCGGUCCUUAAAAGCAGGAUAUUUUUCCUCUAGAGCUCCUUCUACUGAUUUAGACAUUAAUUGGAAUGAUGAUGCAACAUUAUUCAAAGAGUCACCAGAAAAAGGCUGUGUUCUAAUGUUGGGAAGAGUGGAAGUUUCAGGGGAACCAGUGAGUUCCUGCUCCAUUUUACCAAAAGUUGUGAUUGCAACACCAUCACCUGCAUUCCUCAGCAUAAGUGAUUCUAAUGGACCCCGCUGACGGAGGCUCAUGCUAGUCCUGCUUGGAGAGCCACCAGAGAAGGAUCUGGCUGGUGACGAAAGAGCACUUGAAUCAUCUUUGCUCUUGCCCCAUUUCUUCAGCUUUUGGAUUAAGCCAGGUUUCUUACUGAGACUGCUGUAUCUACUCAUGGAACUGUCAAUAGAAGCAUUAUCAAAAUCCUCACUUCCAGGAGAGGAUGGAUGAGAGUAGUUGCUUUCAAGAUCUGUGUCCCCUUGCCCACGUUCAG